CGUGAAGUUGGAAUCGCUAGUAAUCGCGGAUCAGCAUGCCGCGGUGAAUACGUUCCCGGGUCCUUGUACACACCGCCCGUCACACCAUGGGAGUCAGCAACGCCCGAAGUCAGUGACCUAACCGAAAGGGAGGAGCUGCCGAAGGCGGGGCCGGUAACUGGGGUGAAGUCGUAACAAGGUAUC
rnacentral:rRNA from 1 species